rnacentral:misc_RNA from 1 species
GGACGUCGAAGGUGGGGCUGAUGACUGGGGUGAAGUCGUAACAAGGUAUCCGUACCGGAAGGUGCGGAUGGAUCACCUCCUAACAGGGAGACAACACAAUGAUUUUGAUGCCUGAGUACAUUUAUUCUUAGGCCGAAAUCCUGUCACCUUAGGUCGAUCGGUACCUCAGCGUUGAAGCAACAGAAUUAACAGAGAUGUUGAUGCGUGUUGUGGAGAUGAUCAGUUCCUAAACUUUGUCUAGGUCACACCCCACAAGGGUUGAGUUUUCCUGGGCCAUUAGCUCAGGUGGUUAGAGCGCACCCCUGAUAAGGGUGAGGUCCCUGGUUCAAGUCCAGGAUGGCCCAUUCGGUGUUGGGGGUUUAGCUCAGUUGGUAGAGCGCCUGCUUUGCAAGCAGGAUGUCAGGAGUUCGAGUCUCCUAACCUCCACUGACCGAACUCAAUCCCGGUUUUGCAUUGAAAGAUGGAGAACCACUCGGUUGUGAUGUGUGAUUUAGAUGUGUCCGCUGGAUGACCCCAGCUUCCUGUCAUUCCAAAUCGAAGUAAAUCAAUUUACUUGAACGGUUUUGGUUGAUAAGAUGCUGGGCUCGAGUUCAGUGAUCAAGAGAUUGGUCAUUGGAUUUGAAGUCUGGCAGAACCUUGACAACUGCAUAGGUAAGUCUGGAAAAAACAAAGCAUCUUACAGAUGCAUUGUUUUGAAUCUGAUCUUCUGAAAGGGAGAUUGGAUUUAGAACAAUGAAAAUUCUUUUGAGCAAGAGCCGAGACUCUUGAGCGUUCUUUGGUUCGUGUCGAGCGAAUCAGAGUUUGAUCUUGUUUUAGGAAUUGGCGUUAGCUGAUGAUUAAACCUUGAGAAUCUGCUUUCAACGGCGGUAAGCGUUCAGGAGAUUAAUUGGUCAAGCUACAAA